ensembl:lncRNA
UUGUAAAUACCUGUUGUUCUGGUGACAUGAUGAUUGAUGGCAUAUUUAAAGGUCUUAUUCUGAUUAUCUGUAGUGCUGGAGGAAUGACACACACAUGAUUAUCUGUAUUGGGUGAUGAGCAAAUAUCAAAUAUCUUUAUAGUUUCCCUUUCCUGGGCGGGACUUUAUUCAUACAAGGACACAGGUGCAAAUUGGUUUGCAACACAGGAUGAUACUCCCAAGAACAGGAGAUUAUAAUAGAGAUUAUAAUAGGACAUAAUAGGACAGUUUCACAAGGUUAGUCACAUACUCAGUUAUGUGGACACACAAACAAUUAACAUUUUCCAUUACAGAGUCUGAACAUUUUCAUUUCAUUAAAUCAUCAGUGGGCCAACAAUGCAAAUGUCAACAAUGGAACUAAUGCAUCACAUCCAAAUAUCACUUGAUUAUCUGUAGUGCUGGAGGAAUGACACACCCAGAUAAACACACAGUCAGAGUUUAAAAAAGGACCAUUUAAACACAUGGAAUCUGAUCUACUCUACAUUCAAACUGACAUACUCCAUAUUCAGUUUUAUUUUCUAAUAAAAACAUACAAAUAUAUUUUAGAGUAUGCCAAUUAAAUUUCAUAUGGUAUAAACAAUUACACACAGUCAACAAUAUAAGAACGGGAGCACUGUGUAUGUUCUCUGAUGAAUUUUAAGUCAAUGUGAUGUGAAAUAUCAGUUUACACAGUAGGAGAAGUAAUUUUUCUCUGUGUGGAUCCUCACCUGCCUUAUAAGUGACAUUUGUAAGGCUUCUCCCAUGGGUGUAUUUAGAUCAUGAUAUUUCAUGUUUCCUAUCAAGCUAAAACUCAUUCCACACAGGGCGCAAUGGAAAGGCUUCGGUGUGUGUCCACAUGUCUUUUCAGGCUUCCUAACCUGGUAAACCUAGAUCCACACUGGGAGCAGUGGUAAGGCUUAUCCCCUGUGUGUAUUUGCUCAUGAGCUUUCAUGUUUCCUAACAUGCGAAAACUCUUUCCACAAUGGGUGCAAUGGUAUGGCUUCUCCCCUGUGUGUAAUCGUGCAUGAGAUUGCAGGUUUCCUAACGAGCCAAAACUCUUUCCACACUGGGCGCAACGGUAUGGCUUCUCCCCUGUGUGUAUUCGCUCAUGAGUUAUUAGGCCUCCUAACCUGUUAAAACUCUUUCCACAAUGGGAGCAGUGGUAAGGCUUCUCCCCUGUGUGUAUUCGGCUGUGAACUUUCAGGCUUCCUUGCUGUCUAAAACCCUUUCCACAAUGGGAGCAGUGGUAAGGCUUCUCCCCUGUGUGUAUUCGGCCAUGAGCUUUCAGGCUUCCUUGCUGUCUAAAACACUUUCCACACAAGGAGCAGUGGUACGUCUUUUCCCCUGUGAGACUCUUAUGUCUUUUCAGGCUUCCUAACUUGGCAAAACUCUUUCCAAUCUGGGAGCAGAGGUGUCGUCUUGCUGGUUUGGACGUCUCUGGUUCGUCCAAGUUUGGUUUUCCUCCUGCCAAAGACAGUGUUUAUUUAAAGAGAGAACAGAAUGAAAUCUCAACAUCAUAAAACUGCCUUAUUAUGAGGUUUAAUCC